rnacentral:rRNA from 1 species
UACGUAGGUGGCAAGCGUUAUCCGGAAUUAUUGGGCGUAAAGAGCGCGCAGGUGGUUGAUUAAGUCUGAUGUGAAAGCCCACGGCUUAACCGUGGAGGGUCAUUGGAAACUGGUCGACUUGAGUGCAGAAGAGGGAAGUGGAAUUCCUAGUGUAGCGGUGAAAUGCGUAGAUAUUAGGAGGAACACCAGUUGCGAAGGCGGCUCUCUGGACUGUAACUGACACUGAGGCACGAAAGCGUGGGGAGCAAACAGGAUUAGAUACCCGUGUA